UAGAUGAGUAUACCCUUAUAUCGUUUUCUAAGGUGUACGACAUCUAUAGGGCAUUUGCAUAACUAAUCAUCAUAAACAUUGGGAGCCAUUUUGUUACUCAGAGAAGCCAAGUGAGGUGUCUGAGGUAAUAUAUCUGCUUAUAUCUUUGUAAUCUUGUGAUAUAUUUUUAUAUUAGUAUAAGUAAAUGAUCUAUUGUUAUAUAAAGACCUAAUUGAAGGAGAAUGUAAUAUGAAUAUUGAGCUAUAUUGUGUGAAAUAAGAGUUUUAUGUCAAGCAUGUAUUAGUGGAAGAUUUGUUCAUUUCAGUUUAACGGAGAUAAUUGGGAAAUAAUUGGACUAGAAAUGGAUGGUAAUGAAUUGCAUGUAAAAAGAAGAAUUCAAGAUGUAUCGAAGAUGCAAUAAAGUACCACAAAAAGAUCCCAAGCGUUUCCAGUGAAACCCACCGGUUCUUGGCUCUCUGCAACAGUUAAACUCAGUUAAACUCAUACACCUGUAUGAAGUUGAGAAGAGUUAGAUUUACUGAGCUGAGUUAAACUCAUCCUCAUGAGUUCAGGUAAACUCAUACACCUGUAUGCAGUUGAAAUUAGUUGGGUUCAGUUAAACUCAGCCCACAACAGAUGGAUACACUGAGUUACAGUUAAACUCAUCGCAUCAGUUAAACUCAAGACCUUCUGCAUGCAGUUAAACAUGCAAAAGUAAAAGAUCAGUCCAGAACUACAGUUAAACUCACAUCCUCAUGAGUUCAGAUUCAAGACCUCCUGUAAGCAGCAGUUACAUACUUCAGUGGGGAUGCUCGUGAGAGGAUUCACAUCUAUCAACCCAUCUUGCAAGAUAAUUCAAGGUCAAGAAGGAUAGAAGAACGGUGUGAAUGUUCGUGGGAAUCCAAAGGCAAGAGGAUAACCUAUAAAUUACUGGAAGAUUUCUGCUCUUUAAAGAAGCUCUUCAUUUCUACAGGUCCCAAAGGCUAGUGAACUUUUAACUAAUAGGUAUAGAUUGUGUGUUUUAAGUUCCAUAUAGGUCAGUAGACAAAUAGUAGUUGUAAUAAUGAGUGCUACUGAAGAAGCUGUAGGUGACCAACCUCAGGUAACUGGGGCCAGUGAGGUAAUGAAAGGUGCUAGGAAAAAGGUUUUAACAGAAAAAGGGCGUGAGUAUCAAAUAACACAGUAUAUAAAGAGGUUAUCAUCUGCUAAGCUAGCAUGGAAAAAGGUAUUAUCAGAGAUAUUACCAAGUCUUGAUAGUGUAGUAUGCUUGGAUCAACUUAAUGUUCAUAGAAAGGCAGAAGAGUCACAGUUUAAAGAAGUUGUAAAUGCCUUUAACUUGUUAAUGGAAGUAGAUCCAAGUUCUGAGGAUGAAUUGUUACAAGAGUUAAAGUUUGAGACUGAGGAGCACAAUAAUUGUAUGCAAAAAAUUGAGAGUAAAAUGCAUGAGUUAAAACAAGAAACAAAUUCAGUAAAUUCACAACAAAGUAGAUCAUCAAAGCACUCCCAUUCAACAAAGAGAUCUAUGCAUAAUGUUACACAGAAUGAAAGAAUACAAGCAGAAUUAGCUAAGCUACAAAUUGAGCUUCAGCUUCAUAAAAAGGAAACAGAGUAUAAGAUGUUCGUGAUAAAUCAACAGAGGAUCAUGAAAGAAAAAGAAUAUGAGUACAAAAAGUUUCUUUUUAUGAGAAAUAGGUUUCCAUCUCAAAAAGAAGUAGAGAAAGCCAGUCUAGAAGAAAAUCAGCUAGAAUUGUCUCAAAGUAAAGAUCUAGAUGAUAGUAAAGAACUUCAUCUUCACAAAUAUUUUGAAUCUAUUGAUAAAUUGACAGAGGUUGAGAAAGUAAAUCCUACUUUACCAAAACAAGAAACAGCUGCUAAUGAUGUAUCAGGUAUGGGUGAAUUAGAGAUAGAGGUGUCUAAAUUAGAGAAUACCUUCUUAAAAGCAAGUCCAGAGCUUAAGCUACAAACAAAGAGUUUUGAGCCAAAAAGAGAGUUUCAAGAUUUGAAUGCAUCAUUUGGGCAAGGUAGAUCAAGUCAACCUAUAGACCUUAAUGUACUCAAAGAUGUAUUAAAUAUUUUAUCAUCUAAAAGUAAAAGUGAAUUGCCUAAACUAGAACCAGAAAUUUUCAGUGGAGAUUUAUUGGAGUUUCCAACCUGGCUUCAAACCUUUGAGAUUUUUAUAGAAUCAAGAGUUACAGAACCUGCAGAGAAACUUUUCUAUCUAGGUCACUAUACAAGUGGGGAAGCUAAGGCUGCCAUUAAAGGACUUCUUCGUAUCCCCAAAGAAGAAGCUUAUCUUGAGGCUAAAGGUAUAUUAAUGGAUAGGUUUGGAAAUAAGUUUAUUGUGGCAAAUGCUUUUAGAAGUAAAUUAAAUGAAUGGCCAAAGAUUUCAAAUAAGGAUGGUCAUGCACUACAGGAAUUGUCAGACUUCUUAAAGAAUUGCUUAACAGUAAUGAGAACAACAGACUACCUUAAUAUUUUAAAUGAUCCUCAAGAAAAUGGUAAAAUGUUACAGAAGUUAUACCCAGCUCUUAUAGAUAGAUGGAAUUCUGUAGUUUACAAAUGGUCCUCAAGUGAUGCAGGUUACCCUCCAUUUUCAGUUUUUUGUGAAUUUAUAGAAGUGGAGGCAAAGAAAGCUCGCCAUCCAAUCUCAUCACAAAAUGCAGUAAUGACAAGGAAUCAGAGUCAUAAUAUCAAUGUUUCAAUGAGUAGUAAGAAGGGUAAACCAGAAUUAAACAAGUCUGGGACAAAAAGGUUUGUGACUAACUCAACAGGUGUAAAAGAAACAAAGGUACAUAGAGAUGACAGGGGACAAAGUCCAGACAAACCAUAUUGUAAUUUUUGCAAGGCUGAUCAUGAACUUGAUAAAUGUAAAGGGUUUAAUGGACUUGAUAAUAAGGCAAAAUUUGAAUAUGUCCAAAAAUCAUUUCUUUGUAGGGGUUGUUUAAAACAUGGCCAUAUUGUUAAAAACUGCAAAAGAAAGAAUAUAUGCACAGUAUGUAAGAGACGUCAUCCAACAUCUCUUCAUGAGGCUAUACUUGAAAGAAUAAAAGAAAGGGAAGCCUUACUCAAAAUGUAUAAGGAACAAGAGGCUGGAAAUACAGUAACAUUGUCAAAUGAAACUAAUAUAAAUGAAGACAAGGUAAACUCCAGGAAAGUUAAUGAGGAACUCAAAGAUUGUGCAGUUUCCAAUAAAAUAAAGAUAUUGAGAAAAUCAGAGGAUAUGAUGCAUUCCAUGAUAGUACCAGUAUGGAUACAUCAUGAAAGUAACAUACGUAAAAAGGUAUUGGUUUAUGCAUUAUUGGAUGAACAGUCAGAUGCAUGUUUUAUUAAAGAAUCCACCAUGAAUGAGCUAAACAUUCUAGGCUCCAAGGUACACCUAAAGUUAACAACAGUGACAGGCGAAGAAACAAUUGAAAGUACAAAGACUAGAGGACUAAUAGUAUGUGGUAAAAAUGAAAAGAUAGAGAUUGCACUUCCAGUCACUUAUUCAAGGAAGAAUAUACCAGCCAGACAUGAUCAAAUUCCAAGGCCAGAAAGUGUAGAAGGGUGGCCUCAUUUACAGAGAGUAGCAAACGAAUUGAUGCCAUACGAUAGAAGUGUUGAAGUUGGGCUCCUGAUUGGCUUAAAUUGUAUCCGUGCCAUCAAACCAAGAGAGUUAAUUCCUGGGAAAGAUGACGAGCCUUAUGCAAGGAGAACUUUGCUUGGUUGGAGUAUAAUAGGGAGAGUCAAUGGUGAUUGUCAAGACACAAGUGACUCAGAUUCAGUUCUAGCUAGCAAAGUAAUAGUCAAUAAGGUUAUCAUUAAUGGUGACACAAAAUGUAGCUUUCUUUCCUCACCAACUAAAGUAAAGGAAAUAAUUGAUUUUGCACAAGUUCGAAAAUUGUUUGAGCUUGAUUUCAGUGAAAGGGAGACAGGAAAUGUUCCUUUUUCGUAUCAAGACAAGAUUUUCUUAAGAAAAAUGAAAGAUGGAAUUCAUCAACUAAAAGAUGGGCAUUAUGAAUUGCCACUCCCUCUUAAAGAUGAUAAGGUCAAGUUUCCAAAUAGUAAAGAAUUAGCAAUGUGUAGGUUGAUGAGUCUAAAGAGGAAGCUAAAGCAAAAGAAUGGUUUUCUACAGGACUAUGUUGCCUUUAUGAAAGAUCUCAUAGACAAAGGCUAUGCAGAAGAGGCACCAUACCAGGGUCCAAAUUUCAAUGAUGGAAGAGUAUGGUAUAUACCACAUCAUGGUGUGUAUCAUCCAAAGAAACCUGACAAAAUUAGGGUAGUAUUCGAUUGCAGUGCUGUGUAUAAGAAUGAAUCACUUAAUAAGAAUCUUUUACAAGGUCCGGAUCUGACAAAUAACUUGAUUGGCGUAUUGUGCAGAUUCAGAAAGGAACAUGUAGCAAUUGCAUGUGAUAUAGAAGCAAUGUUCCACCAAGUAAAGGUAAAGCCUGAUCACAGAGACCUACUACGCUUUCUGUGGUGGGAAAAUGGAAAUCCUGAUUCAGUUGUCAAAGAAUAUAGAAUGACAGUGCACUUAUUUGGGGCUACAUCUUCUCCAAGUGUAGCAAGUUUUGCACUGAAAGCCACUGCUGAUGAUUAUGCAUGGCAAUGUGGUACAGAAGCCGCCUCCUUUGUUAAAAAUGAAUUUUAUGUAGAUGAUGGGUUAACAUCUUUACCUACAACUGCAGAAGCCAUAGCUUUAAUCAGGAAUAGUAAAGCAUUAUGUUCGAAGGGUGGCUUCAAAUUGCACAAGUUCUUGUCAAAUAAGAAAGAAGUUCUAGAAGCAAUAAGUUUAGAGGAAAAGGCUAAAAGUUUAAAGAACUUAGAUCUCUCUAGUGAAGCCUUACCAAUAGAGAGAACUUUAGGAGUAGAAUGGUGUAUAGAAUCAGAUACAUUCCAGUUCAGAAUUAGUAUUAAUGACAAACCAAUAACUAGAAGAGGUAUAUUGUCAACGGUGAGUUCUGUUUUCGAUCCAAUGGGUAUGGUCUCACCCUUUAUAUUGAUUGGUAAAAGAAUACUUCAAACCUUGUGUCAAGAUGGAGUAGACUGGGAUGAUGACAUAUCAGAUAAUUUGAAACAACAAUGGAGAAGAUGGAGAGAUGAUCUGAUUCAGUUGAAAGAGUUAAAGAUUCCUAGAUGCUACAAGCCUGAUGUGUUUAGAAAGGUCAAAUCAUUGGAACUGCAUCAUUUCUCUGAUGCUAGUCAGCAUGGUUAUGGACAGUGCUCUUAUUUAAGGCAAGUAAGUGAGCAGGGACAAGUUCAUUGUGCACUUGUCAUGUCAAAGUCUAGAGUGACACCAUUGAAGCCCAUAACUGUUCCUAGGUUAGAACUAACAGCUGCAGUCGUAGCUGUUCGAAUUAGCUCUAUGCUAAGGAAGGAGUUAGGUUAUCAGGAACUAAAAGAAUACUUUUGGACCGAUAGCAAAGUCAUACUUGGUUACAUUUCAAACGAAGCUAAGAGAUUCCAUGUGUUUGUUGCUAACCGAGUGCAGCAUAUUAAAGACCAUUCCUCUAUGGAACAAUGGAAAUUUGUUGAGUCAGUUCAAAUCCUGUUGAUUCCACUUCACGUUGAUCCUGUAUGUAAAGAACCUGAUUGAAUUAUAGUGGAAGUGGGGUGUCCCCGCCAAAGAGCCUAUUCAAAUAUCAAAAUUGUAUUGUUCCUCAGUAGUAUAGAUGUUGAUUCCACAUUUUGCUCAUAUAAGUACAAUGUAAUUAGAGUUUAAGGUAAAUUGUUCAUACAAUUUAGGGGAGCCAUGUUACUGCAGGGACAAAAUGUAUACUUAGUUAUAAACAAUCAGUUCCUAUGCUUUGUGAUAUUACUAACAUUAGGUUAAGUAUGAAAUAGAUGAGUAUACCCUUAUAUCGUUUUCUAAGGUGUACGACAUCUAUAGGGCAUUUGCAUAACUAAUCAUCAUAAACAUUGGGAGCCAUUUUGUUACUCAGAGAAGCCAAGUGAGGUGUCUGAGUUUAACGGAGAUAAUUGGGAAAUAAUUGGACUAGAAAUGGAUGGUAAUGAAUUGCAUGUAAAAAGAAGAAUUCAAGAUGUAUCGAAGAUGCAAUAAAGUACCACAAAAAGA